CGUGCUUAACACAUGCAAGUCGCACGAGAACUCUUCUGCUUGCAGAAGAUAGUAAGUGGCGCACGGGUGAGUAACGCGUGAGUAAUCUAGCUUCGAAUUUGGGAUAACAUGCCGAAAGGCUUGCUAAUACCGGAUAAUAUCUGCAAAACAUAGGUUUUACAGAUCAAAGGUGGCCUCUAUAUAUAAGCUACUGUUUGAAGAUGAGCCCGCGUACCAUUAGCUUGUUGGUAGGGUAAUGGCCUACCAAGGCUACGAUGGUUAGCUGGUCUGAGAGGAUGAUCAGCCACACUGGAACUGACACACGGUCCAGACUCCUACGGGAGGCAGCAGUGAGGAAUUUUGCGCAAUGGGGGAAACCCUGACGCAGCAACGCCGCGUGAGUGAUGAAGGCUUUCGGGUCGUAAAGCUCUGUCAAGUGAGAAGAAACUAUUGUGUGCCAAUAACACGCAAUACUGACGGUACCACUAAAGGAAGCACCGGCUAACUCCGUGCCAGCAGCCGCGGUAAUACGGGGGGUGCAAGCGUUAUCCGGAAUUAUUGGGCGUAAAGAGCACGUAGGCGGCUCCUUAAGUCAGAUGUGAAAGCCCGGGGCUUAACCCCGGAAGUGCAUUUGAAACUAAGGAGCUUGAGUAUGGGAGAGGGAAGUGGAAUUCCUGGUGUAGAGGUGAAAUUCGUAGAUAUCAGGAGGAACACCAGUGGCGAAGGCGACUUCCUGGACCAAUACUGACGCUGAGGUGCGAAGGCGUGGGUAGCGAACAGGAUUAGAUACCCUGGUAGUCCACGCAGUAAACGAUGAACACUAGGUGUAGCGGGUAUUGACCCCUGCUGUGCCGCAGCUAACGCAUUAAGUGUUCCGCCUGGGGAGUACGAUCGCAAGAUUAAAACUCAAAGGAAUUGACGGGGGCCCGCACAAGCGGUGGAGCAUGUGGUUUAAUUCGACGCAACGCGAAGAACCUUACCUGGAUUUGACAUCUCGGGAAUUCUAUCGAAAGAUUGAAGUGCCCUUC
rnacentral:rRNA from 1 species